UCCCCACUUCUGAGACAUUUCCUGAGUCU
rnacentral:piRNA from 1 species